rnacentral:snRNA from 1 species
AGGCGAUCUGGCUGCAAUAUCUGUCAUCCCAUUGAUCACCAGGGUUGAUCUGGCUGGGUAGGCAGGUGUUCCCUUCUUCCCUCACCACUCCAUGUGCGUCCCUCCGGAAGCUGUGAGCUUGGUCAGAGAGGAUGGCCUUCUCCAAUAGACCAAUCUUCUGCGCUC